CUACGGGGUGCUGCAGUGGGGAAUAUUGCACAAUGGGCGCAAGCCUGAUGCAGCCAUGCCGCGUGUAUGAAGAAGGCCUUCGGGUUGUAAAGUACUUUCAGCGGGGAGGAAGGGAGUAAAGUUAAUACCUUUGCUCAUUGACGUUACCCGCAGAAGAAGCACCGGCUAACUCCGUGGCCAGCAGCCGCGGUAAUACGGAGAGGUGCAAGCGUUGAUCGGAAUUACUGGGCGUAAAGCGCACGCAGGCGGUUUGUUAAGUCAGAUGUGAAAUCCCCGGGCUCAACCUGGGAACUGCAUCUGAUACUGGCAAGCUUGAGUCUCGUAGAGGGGGGUAGAAUUCCAGGUGUAGCGGUGAAAUGCGUAGAGAUCUGGAGGAAUACCGGUGGCGAAGGCGGCCCCCUGGACGAAGACUGACGCUCAGGUGCGAAAGCGUGGGGAGCAAACAGGAUUAGAUACCCUAGUAGUC
rnacentral:rRNA from 1 species